GCGAGGGUGCCGGAGUGGUCAAACGGAUACGGUUAAGGCCCGUAUGGCUUAGUGCCUACGCAGGUUCGAGUCCUGUCCCUCGCA
rnacentral:tRNA from 1 species